GCUAGGUGUGGUGGUGCACACCUGUAAUCCCAGCAGCUUGGGAGGCUGGGCAGGAAGAUUCCAAGUGCAAAGCCAGCCUCAGCAACUUAUUGAUGUCCUA
rnacentral:sRNA from 1 species